rnacentral:rRNA from 1 species
AGCAGCCGCGGUAAUUCCAGCUCCAAUAGCGUAUAUUAAAGUUGUUGCAGUUAAAAAGCUCGUAGUUGAAUUUCGGGAUCAAGGAAUCGGUCAUGCCUUGGUAUGUACUGGUUUUAUUGGUUCUCACCUUCUAAAGAACCAUAAUGUCAUUUAUUUGAUGUUAUGGGGAAUUAGGACUGUUACCUUGAAAAAUUAGAGUGUUUAAAGCAAGCUUACGCUUGAAUACAUUAGCAUGGAAUAAUGAAAUAGGACAUCAGAUUCUAUUUUGUUGGUUUCUAGGAUCGAUGUAAUGAUUAAUAGGGAUAGUUGGGGGCAUUAGUAUUCAAUUGUCAGAGGUGAAAUUCUUGGAUUUAUCGAAGACUAACUACUGCGAAAGCAUUUGCCAAGGAUGUUUUCAUUAAUCAAGAACGAAAGUUAGGGGAUCGAAGACGAUCAGAUACCGUCGUAGUC